rnacentral:lncRNA from 1 species
GGAGCCCAGCAGCUCAAUCUGUACUCAGAACCUUUAGAACCGUGUUCACGUUCUGUCUCCGUUCUGAACACUUACUUUGUGUUUUGGCGAACACCUGAAUCUCUUCCUUCAACUGAUCUUACUUUCCAUCCUUUUGUGCUUUUAUAUUUUCAUACAACACGGGACAGCACACCUUUCACCACAGAGAAGCUAAGAUCCUGCUGUACAAAUCAUAAAUAUAGGCCUUCCUUUGAAAGAGACCAAUGUGUUUGUCCUGUCUUUCAGGUCUCGAGUCUACUAUGGAUGAGGAGAGAGAGGAGGAGGGUCCUACCUCUAAGACCACUCUGUCUGGGGAACAUGGCCGCCGGAGCAAAGCUAAGAGGUAAGAAGAGGAUCUCUCUGUCUGUGACUGUUGUUCAUCUCAGAGCUCAGCAGUGA